rnacentral:rRNA from 1 species
GUCAAGCCGCAACUUUGGGUUGUGGUGAGGGUAGUGGGUAAAGAAGCACCGGCUAACUACGUGCCAGCAGCCGCGGUAAUACGUAGGGUGCGAGCGUUGUCCGGAAUUAUUGGGCGUAAAGGGCUUGUAGGCGGUUUGUCGCGUCUGCCGUGAAAUCCUCUGGCUUAACUGGGGGCGUGCGGUGGGUACGGGCAGACUUGAGUGCGGUAGGGGAGACUGGAACUCCUGGUGUAGCGGUGGAAUGCGCAGAUAUCAGGAAGAACACCGGUGGCGAAGGCGGGUCUCUGGGCCGUUACUGGCGCUGAGGAGCGAAAGCGUGGGGAGCGAACAGGAUUAGAUACCCUGGUAGUCCCACGCCGUAAACGUGGGGCAAUAGGGGUGGGGGCCACCCGUGGUUUCUGCGCCGUAGCUAACGCUUUAAGUGCCCCGCCUGGGGAGUACGGCCGCAAGGCUAAAACUCAAAGGAAUUGACGGGGGCCCGCACAAGCGGCGGAGCAUGCGGAUUAAUUCGAUGCAACGCGAAGAACCUUACCAAGGCUUGACAUGCACGGCGGCACUGCAGAGAUGUGGUGGCAUUUAGUUGGUCGUGUGCAGGUGGUGCAUGGUUGUCGUCAGCUCGUGUCGUGAGAUGUUGGGUUAAGUCCCGCAACGAGCGCAACCCUUGCCCUAUGUUGCCAGCACGUUAUGGUGGGGACUCGUGGGGGACUGCCGGGGUUAACUCGGAGGAAGGUGGGGAUGACGUCAAAUCAUCAUGCCCCUUAUGUCUUGGGCUUCACGCAUGCUACAAUGGCUGGUACAGAGGGUUGCGAUACUGUGAGGUGGAGCGAAUCCCUUAAAGCCGGUCUCAGUUCGGAUUGGGGUCUGCAACUCGACCCCAUGAAGGUGGAGUCGCUAGUAAUCGCAGAUCAGCAACGCUGCGGUGAAUACGUUCUCGGGCCUUGUACACACCGCCCGUCA